rnacentral:misc_RNA from 1 species
GAUGAAGAACGUAGCAAAAUGCGAUAAGUAAUGUGAAUUGCAGAAUUCAGUGAAUCAUCGAAUCUUUGAACGCACAUUGCGCCCGCUGGUAUUCCGGCGGGCAUGCCUGUUCGAGCGUCAUUUCAACCCUCAAACCCCCCGGGUUUGGUGUUGGGGAUCGGCUCUGCCUCACGGCGGUGCCGCCCCCGAAAUACAUUGGCGGUCUCGCUGCAGCCUCCAUUGCGUAGUAGCUAACACCUCGCAACUGGAACGCGGCGCGGCCAUGCCGUAAAACCCCAACUUCUGAAUGUUGACCUCGGAUCAGGUAGGAAUACCCGCUGAACUUAAGCAUAUAAUAAGCGGAGGA